rnacentral:rRNA from 1 species
UACGGAGGGUGCAAGCGUUAUCCGGAUUCACUGGGUUUAAAGGGUGCGUAGGUGGGCAGGUAAGUCAGUGGUGAAAUCUCCGGGCUUAACUCGGAAACUGCCGUUGAUACUAUCUGUCUUGAAUAUCGUGGAGGUUAGCGGAAUAUGUCAUGUAGCGGUGAAAUGCUUAGAUAUGACAUAGAACACCAAUUGCGAAGGCAGCUGGCUACACAAAUAUUGACACUGAGGCACGAAAGUGUGGGGAUCAAACAGG